CAAGGGGGAUCUAUAAACGUAUGCCUGUGGAAAACAGCAAGAGGACAAAGGACCCUUUCUAGUUAAAGCAAACUGCCCUGAGCUUAGUUAUUUUACACAGAGAUGCAUUGGGCAGAGACAUUUUAAAGUCACAGCAUCCUAGCUAGGCAUUCUGAUUGACCAGAACUGUUCUGAAAAUAUGAAACUGCGCAUGAGACUGAGACUCUGAAGAAACCGAAAAACUCAGCGCCCCACUCUUCCAAAUGAUGCUGAGAUGCACUCAGUAAGUCCUGCCUUUGAGAUCGGCAGUUGGAAAGCAGCACAGCACGCCAAGAGCCCAGUUCAUAUUCAUGACUUGUACUGGUGUGCCAUUCUGGACAGGCCCCUGCCUGGCACCCACCCACUCCUGCUACAGCUGCUACAGACUGGGCCAUAAAAGACUUAAAAUAACUUGAAGAAUUGUCAAUUACAUCCAACUGUCAAGUUCUGCAACCGAGCCAUUCAUCAUGGAACUGACUGAGUCCAUUUUUGGCUUGCAGGGAGAUUCAAUCACGUCUUUCUAUAGUGUAAAAGUGUCCAACUAUAGUCGUCCAGCACUUGCCCUGAUAUUGCUUUCCCAAUGUCCUGAAACCGUUCACCAUGUUCAUCACUGACUGUACUAAAGUGAGUGAGUCGGGAAGAAGUCCAAGUGAGAGUACAGAAAAUGAAGAGACAAGUAUGGUUGUGUAUACAUUGCCAGCCAGAAUGGAGGUCAUUUGGUGCCCUGCAGUUGCCAAGAAAAUUCUCAACAAUAUCCUUGAAUGCCUUCCAUGCGAUUUCCUUUAAUCCCACUAGCAGAUCGUCCAACAGCUAAUCAUUGAUGACGUGUCUGAUUUGUGGACCAACAAAUCCGCCUUCCUUAAUCUUGGCAUCCAUCAGUUUUUCACGAAUUAUUAUUUCUCUGAAUUAUUGGAAUCCUUCACCUCUUCAUCUCUUUCACGAUAUUUAACUUUUAUACAAAGUGGAUGCAAAAAUAUCUUUGUUGGGUCGUCACAUGGUUUAUGCUUACUUACUGGAAAGAUGACAAAACACCACUGUGAAUUCGUCUCCAAUACCCUAACCAGAAGUCCGAGCCGCUUCCUUUAUCCCGUCUGGUCCUGCUUUGAUGACGUCACUCCAUCUCAAGAUCCUCAGCGACCUUCUUUCCCAUUUCUGUUCCCACCUCAUAAAAUGUCCAUGCUUCAUGUUAAUCAUUGUCUGUUAUACACUACUUGAUGACUGACAGUUUGCUCUUGGAAUUCAUUGCUUAACAGUAUAUGUACA